GCUUACUUAGCUCAGCUGGUAGAGCAGUAGACUGAAAAUCUACGUGUCCGUGGUUCAACUCCACGAGUAAGCACCA
rnacentral:tRNA from 1 species